rnacentral:rRNA from 1 species
GGUUAAGCGACUAAGCGUACACGGUGGAUGCCCUGGCAGUCAGAGGCGAUGAAGGACGUGCUAAUCUGCGAAAAGCGUCGGUAAGGUGAUAUGAACCGUUACAGCCGGCGAUGUCCGAAUGGGGAAACCCAGUGCAAUUCGUUGCACUAUCGUUAACUGAAUACAUAGGUUAACGAGGCGAACCGGGGGAACUGAAACAUCUAAGUACCCCGAGGAAAAGAAAUCAACCGAGAUUCCCCCAGUAGCGGCGAGCGAACGGGGAGCAGCCCGGAGUCUGAAUCAGCUUGUGUGUUAGUGGAAGCGUCUGGAAAGUCGCAGGGUACAGGGUGAUACUCCCGUACACUAAAACACACAGGUUGUGAACUCGAAGAGUAGGGCGGGACACGUGGUAUCCUGUCUGAAUAUGGGGGACCAUCCUCCAAGGCUAAAUACUCCUGACUGACCGAUAGUGAACCAGUACCGUGAGGGAAAGGCGAAAAGAACCCCGGCGAGGGGAGUGAAAAAGAACCUGAAACCGUGUACGUACAAGCAGUAGGAGCCCACUAGUUGGGUGACUGCGUACCUUUUGUAUAAUGGGUCAGCGACUUAUAUUCUGUAGCAAGGUUAACCGUAUAGGGGAGCCGCAGGGAAACCGAGUCUUAACUGGGCGUUAAGUUGCAGGGUAUAGACCCGAAACCCGGUGAUCUAGCCAUGGGCAGGUUGAAGGUUGGGUAACACUAACUGGAGGACCGAACCGACUAAUGUUGAAAAAUUAGCGGAUGACUUGUGGCUGGGGGUGAAAGGCCAAUCAAACCGGGAGAUAGCUGGUUCUCCCGAAAGCUAUUUAGGUAGCGCCUCGUGAAUUCAUCUUCGGGGGUAGAGCACUGUUUCGGCUAGGGGGUCAUCCCGACUUACCAACCCGAUGCAAACUACGAAUACCGAAGAAUGUUAUCACGGGAGACACACGGCGGGUGCUAACGUCCGUCGUGAAGAGGGAAACAACCCAGACCGCCAGCUAAGGUCCCAAAGUCAUGGUUAAGUGGGAAACGAUGUGGGAAGGCCCAGACAGCCAGGAUGUUGGCUUAGAAGCAGCCAUCAUUUAAAGAAAGCGUAAUAGCUCACUGGUCGAGUCGGCCUGCGCGGAAGAUGUAACGGGGCUAAACCAUGCACCGAAGCUGCGGCAGCGACACUAUGUGUUGUUGGGUAGGGGAGCGUUCUGUAAGCCGUUGAAGGUGGCCUGUGAGGGUUGCUGGAGGUAUCAGAAGUGCGAAUGCUGACAUAAGUAACGAUAAUGCGGGUGAAAAACCCGCACGCCGGAAGACCAAGGGUUCCUGUCCAACGUUAAUCGGGGCAGGGUGAGUCGACCCCUAAGGCGAGGCCGAAAGGCGUAGUCGAUGGGAAACAGGUUAAUAUUCCUGUACUCGGUGUUACUGCGAAGGGGGGACGGAGAAGGCUAUGUUGGCCGGGCGACGGUUGUCCCGGUUUAAGCAUGUAGGCGGAUGUUCCAGGUAAAUCCGGAACGUCACUAACGCUGAGGUGUGAUGACGAGGCACUACGGUGCUGAAGUGACAAAUGCCCUGCUUCCAGGAAAAGCCUCUAAGCAUCAGGUAACAUCAAAUCGUACCCCAAACCGACACAGGUGGUCAGGUAGAGAAUACCAAGGCGCUUGAGAGAACUCGGGUGAAGGAACUAGGCAAAAUGGUGCCGUAACUUCGGGAGAAGGCACGCUGAUGGUAGGUGAAGUGACUUGCUCAUGGAGCUGAAAUCAGUCGAAGAUACCAGCUGGCUGCAACUGUUUAUUAAAAACACAGCACUGUGCAAACACGAAAGUGGACGUAUACGGUGUGACGCCUGCCCGGUGCCGGAAGGUUAAUUGAUGGGGUUAUCCUCGCGGAGAAGCUCUUGAUCGAAGCCCCGGUAAACGGCGGCCGUAACUAUAACGGUCCUAAGGUAGCGAAAUUCCUUGUCGGGUAAGUUCCGACCUGCACGAAUGGCGUAAUGAUGGCCAGGCUGUCUCCACCCGAGACUCAGUGAAAUUGAACUCGCUGUGAAGAUGCAGUGUACCCGCGGCAAGACGGAAAGACCCCGUGAACCUUUACUAUAGCUUGACACUGAACACUGGUCCUUGAUGUGUAGGAUAGGUGGGAGGCUUUGAAGUGUGGACGCCAGUCUGCAUGGAGCCAUCCUUGAAAUACCACCCUUUAAUGGCUGGUGUUCUAACGUGGGCCCGUGAUCCGGGUUGCGGACAGUGUCUGGUGGGUAGUUUGACUGGGGCGGUCUCCUCCUAAAGAGUAACGGAGGAGCACGAAGGUCAGCUAAUCCUGGUCGGACAUCAGGAGGUUAGUGCAAUGGCAUAAGCUGGCUUGACUGCGAGCGUGACGGCGCGAGCAGGUGCGAAAGCAGGUCAUAGUGAUCCGGUGGUUCUGAAUGGAAGGGCCAUCGCUCAACGGAUAAAAGGUACUCCGGGGAUAACAGGCUGAUACCGCCCAAGAGUUCAUAUCGACGGCGGUGUUUGGCACCUCGAUGUCGGCUCAUCACAUCCUGGGGCUGAAGUAGGUCCCAAGGGUAUGGCUGUUCGCCAUUUAAAGUGGUACGCGAGCUGGGUUUAGAACGUCGUGAGACAGUUCGGUCCCUAUCUGCCGUGGGCGCUGGAGAAUUGAGGGGGCUGCUCCUAGUACGAGAGGACCGGAGUGGACGCAUCACUGGUGUUCGGGUUGUCAUGCCAAUGGCAUUGCCCGGUAGCUAAAUGCGGAAGAGAUAAGUGCUGAAAGCAUCUAAGCACGAAACUUGCCCCGAGAUGAGUUCUCCCUGACUCCUUGAGAGUCCUGAAGGAACGUUGAAGACGACGACGUUGAUAGGCCGGGUGUGUAAGCGCAGCGAUGCGUUGAGCUAACCGGUACUAAUGAACCGUGAGGCUUAACCUU